rnacentral:rRNA from 1 species
UACGGAGGGUGCGAGCGUUGUCCGGAAUCACUGGGCGUAAAGGGCGCGUAGGCGGCGCGGGCAGUCAACGGUGAAAGCUCGGGGCUCAACUCCGAGUCGGCCGGCGAUACUCCCGUGCUCGAGCACUGUAGAGGCAGGUGGAAUUCCGGGUGUAGCGGUGGAAUGCGUAGAGAUCCGGAAGAACACCGGUGGCGAAGGCGGCCUGCUGGGCAGUAGCGGACGCUGAGGCGCGAAAGCGGGGUAGCAAACAGG